rnacentral:rRNA from 1 species
CAGUCGCCACGGGAAUACGGAGGGAGCUAGCGUUGUUCGGAAUUACUGGGCGUAAAGCGCGCGUAGGCGGUUACUCAAGUCAGAGGUGAAAGCCCGGGGCUCAACCCCGGAACUGCCUUUGAAACUAGGUGACUAGAAUCUUGGAGAGGCCAGUGGAAUUCCGAGUGUAGAGGUGAAAUUCGUAGAUAUUCGGAAGAACACCAGUGGCGAAGGCGACUGACUGGACAAGUAUUGACGCUGAGGUGCGAAAGCGUGGGGAGCAAACAGGAUUAGAUACCCCCGUAGUCCCUGUCUCUUAUAA